CGGAUUGGAGUCUGCAACCCGACUCCAUGAAGCUGGAUUCGCUAGUAAUCGCGCAUCAGCCACGGCGCGGUGAAUACGUUCCCGGGCCUUGUACACACCGCCCGUCAAACCAUGGAAGCCGGGAGUGCCUGAAGUGCGUGACCGCAAGGAGCGCCCUAAGGCAAUACCGGUGACUGGGGCUAAGUCGUAACAAGGUAUC
rnacentral:rRNA from 1 species